rnacentral:rRNA from 1 species
AUUGAACGCUGGCGGCAUGCCUUACACAUGCAAGUCGAACGGCAGCACGGGAGCAAUCCUGGUGGCGAGUGGCGAACGGGUGAGUAAUAUAUCGGAACGUGCCCAGUAGUGGGGGAUAGCCCGGCGAAAGCCGGAUUAAUACCGCAUACGACCUGUGGGUGAAAGCGGGGGAUCGCAAGACCUCGCGCUAUUGGAGCGGCCGAUAUCAGAUUAGCUAGUUGGUGGGGUAAAGGCCUACCAAGGCGACGAUCUGUAGCUGGUCUGAGAGGACGACCAGCCACACUGGGACUGAGACACGGCCCAGACUCCUACGGGAGGCAGCAGUGGGGAAUUUUGGACAAUGGGCGCAAGCCUGAUCCAGCCAUGCCGCGUGUGGGAAGAAAGGGCCCUUCGGGUUGGUUAAACCGACUUUUAGUUCUAGGGAAGAAAC